GAGGGAUACUCCGGCCGGGAGCCGCCUCACCCCUCCUCAAACUUCCUGACAUUUGAACUCAUUGGUGCGCCUCGUAUCCCUGCGCCGGGAUGAGCCGGCGGCUCCACGUCAAAUAGUGCCGUCGCCGCCCCCCCGCGGGAGGGCUCCCCGCGCCCCCAGCCAGUGUCCCGCGCUGCGCCUGGCCCCGAGCUCCGGCCCCGGCUUCCCUGCCCGUCCGGUCGCCCUGAUGGUCCCUCGAAGAAAAUUGGGUCGCCUUUGAAACAAUCCUCUGCCCCACCUCCUUGGAAAAUUGAUUUGGGAGUUGGGAAAUGGAGGCUUUCUUUUUUUCUUCCUUUCCUUCUUUAUUAUUAAUAUUUUGUAAAGCUUCAGUGCUAAGAGGAGUGGCCCCGAGCAAGGCCAGACUGCGCGGACGGCGGGGAGCGCAGCGGCUCCUCCCGGGUACGGCGCCAGCCGGCAGCGGCCGCCCGGGGACUCCGACAGUCGGCAGAGGUCUUGCUAAACUGCUGAGGCUGGCCUUGAACUUGUGACUCUCUGACCUCACCCUCCCCAGUACCUGGGAUCAUAGAUAUGCACCACUGUGCCUGGCUUGAAAUAAAUUAAAAAAAAAAAAUCAAAUACAUCGUGAGUCCUGAUUCCAAAACUGGGAAGCAACCCAGAUGUCCUUCAACAGGACAUGAAUCAUCCCUGGGUCCAGUGUAUCCACACUGUAUAUGCUACCCACUGGUUAGUCACUUAAUCACCAAUGUGAUUAUCAGAUUCCCUGUCAUGGCAUUGCAGUGCUUGUGCUUGAAUACUCUGUGCCACAAUGCCUACUUCAUUCACCCCCGUUCAUCUUGUCACUAGCCAUUGUCUCGUCAUACAUCAUCACAAGAAGGAGACAGGGUCUCACUGAGUUGCUCGGUGCCUUGCCUUUGUUGAGGCUGACUUUGAACUCGUGAUCCUCCUGCCUCAGUCUCCAGAGCCGCUGGGAUUACAGUUCUGAUCUCCACAGGUGCCACCAGAAUUCCCUCUUGUCUGCAGAGAGGAGCUGCCGGGCAGGCAGUAGAACCUGAGACCUCAACCCCAGCCCUGCUCCACUGAGAUGGCUGUGUGACCCUGACCAGGAACUUCGCCCCUCUGCUGCAGUCCCUCAUCUGUAACACAGGGCACCAACUGUGCCCACCUCCCCAGGCAGCCGCGAGGAGUUCACAGCACAGUGCCCAACACGUGAUAAGCCACCAAUAAAAUCAGCCGUUAUUAUCAUUAA